rnacentral:misc_RNA from 1 species
GCUAUGGGUGUCGAUAGCUGGGGUGGUGGGGCUGGGGCUGGGGAUGAUCAUUGGGAGGUUUGGUUUUUGUGACGACACUGAGAAGAACAGUGUACCCGGUAUACCAGACGCCAUCGUCCAGGACGGUGAUCCGGAAGUUACAGCGGAGAUCAUCAACCAGAUUAACAGCGAAAAUAUCAGGCGCUACUUACAAGAGUUGUCAGAGAACCCCCAUCUUGCCGGAACAGAUGCUGAUUACAAGCAAGCCAAAGAGCUCCAGGAGUUCUGGACAUCGGCGGGCCUGGACGAAGCGUUUAUCACGCCGUACGACAUAUUGUUGUCUUAUCCCGAAACCCAAAAUGAAAGCAUGAUGAACCAGAUUUUCGUCUACAAUUCUUCAGACCAAGAGGUGUGGAAGUCCGCGCUAUAUGAACCGAUCUUGGACCCCAGUGAGAACAAAUCGAACGUGGUGCCGCCAUUCAAUGCGUACUCUGCGCCGGGGGAUGUUAGCUCUACAGACUUGGUGUACGUCAAUUACGGACGUGUAGAGGAUUACAGGUGGCUGGCUCAGAACACGAGUAUUAACAUCACUGGCAAAAUCGUUCUGGCUCGUUACGGCAAGAUCUUCAGAGGGGACAAGGCCCACCAAGCCUAUCUCCACGGAGCUAAGGGUAUCAUAAUAUACUCGGACCCCGCGGAUUAUGCCGUGGAUGGCGAGACGUCACAGGUGUACCCUCGUGACUGGUGGCUCCCCGAGUCGGGCACCCAGAGAGGGACAAUACUCCUGGGGAGUGGUGACCCCCUAACCCCCGGAUACCCGGCAACAGAACAUGCCUACAGACUUAACGAAAGUGAGGCUGGUCUACCAAAGAUUCCAUCGCAUCCAAUUGGAUAUGGAGUUGCCAAAACUUUAAUCGGCUAUAUGGAUGGGGUAGAAGUUCCAAACAGUUGGAAAGGGGCUUUAAAUGUGACCUACAGAUAUGGCGGGCCAUUAAAAGACCCUUAUAAGAGUGUUCGAAUAAGAAUUUCGACUAAAAAUGAGAAAAGAACAACAUAUAACGUGUUUGGGGUCAUACAAGGAAGAGUUGAGCCAGGUUGAUACGUGUUACUCGGCAACCAUCGUGAUGCCUGGGUGUUCGGAGCAAUCGAUCCUUCGAGUGGAACAGCAGUAAUGAAAGAGGUGUCCCGAGUGAUGGGGAAUAUGGUCAAGACUGGCAAAUGGCGGCCACGUCGCACCAUCAUUUUCUGUAGCUGGGGAGCGGAGGAGUACGGGCUUAUUGGAUCCACAGAGUGGAUUGAGCAAUACGUCAAAAAUCUUGCCUCUAGAGCUGUUGCCUAUUUGAAUGUGGACAUUGCUGUACAAGGCAACUACUCGCUCAGGUCGUUGGGCACGCCUCUACUUAACUCUGUGAUCUACGAUUCUACCAAAAAGAUUCCAAACCCUGAUGACCAAGACACAGUGAAGAAAACCGUGUACGAUAAAUGGUUGGUUAGCUUCCCGAACACCGAAAAAACCUUGCCUAGGAUUGCAGACAUGGGAUCUGGGAGUGAUUACGCACCGUUCAUCAAGCGAGUUGGUUUACCCUGUCUCGAUAUUCGCUACACCUACAACUCAAACAAGUACAAGCUGUCUUCCUAUCCACUCUAUCAUUCCAAGUACGAAACAUUCAAGGUGGUAGACGAGAUCAUGGAUCGUGGAUUUAAGUUCUUGUUUGUGUAGCGUCACCGCGCCGUGGGUCAGGCCUGGGGGGAGAUAGCUCGCAGUCUCGCCGACUCCCUGCUGAUACCGUUCAGAGUCCAGGACUACGCCCAAAAACUGGAGGAACUGGUCAAACAACUGGAUUCCGACUUUGGAACAUUAAUGAGGAAGAAUGGUAUUCAAUUUGAUUUACUUUACAACGUUUCAAGCCUGUUUACCAAGGAGACAGAUGCGUUCCAGAAGUUUGUUGAUUCUGUAGAUAAGCGAGAUCCAUUUGCCAUUCGCAAAAUCAAUGAUCAACUGAUGCAAUUGGAACGAGCUUUUAUAGACCCCCAGGGUCUACCAGGACGCCCUCUAGCAAGACACGUUCUUUUUGCGGAGAGCAGUGUCAACACCUACGCCGGAAGCAGUUUCCCAGGACUAGCAGACGGUAUGUUUGAGAUCGAAAGUAGCCCGGAUGAAGCUAGUAGAUGGGAGAUCGUCAAGAAACAUUUUACUGUCAUUCUCUAUACCAUAGAAUCUGCUGCAUCAACGCUCCGAGACGUCCAUAAGUUUAUGCCUCUGUAACUGCUUUCAUUUUGUGAAAAUUUCCUUUUUUGAAAAUUUAAAAUCAUUUGAAAGUCUUAUCGUUGACAUCCUGUAUUAUUUUGAUAGCGUUAUGUUUUGAAGCUGUCAUUUCGCAUGUAAAAAUGUUUCAUAUAUAUCAUCAGUCAUUUCUUAAGUAGUAUUUAUCUCUGUGCUAUUUAAUGUACAAAUAAAAAAAUCAUAAUUUCAUAUACAUGUACAAGUACAAAUAAAUAGGUGUCAAUUGAUA